ACUCCUACGGGAGGCAGCAGUAGGGAAGUCUUCCACAAUGGGCGCAAGCCUGAUGGAGCAACACCGCGUGAGUGAAGAAGGGUUUCGGCUCGUAAAGCUCUGUUGUUAAAGAAGAACACGUAUGAGAGUAACUGUUCAUACGUUGACGGUAUUUAACCAGAAAGUCACGGCUAACUACGUGCCAGCAGCCGCGGUAAUACGUAGGUGGCAAGCGUUAUCCGGAUUUAUUGGGGCGUAAAGAGAGUGCAGGCGGUUUUCUAAGUCUGAUGUGAAAGCCUUCGGCUUAACCGGAGAAGUGCAUCGGAAACUGGAUAACUUGAGUGCAGAAGAGGGUAGUGGAACUCCAUGUGUAGCGGUGGAAUGCGUAGAUAUAUGGAAGAACACCAGUGGCGAAGGCGGCUACCUGGUCUGCAACUGACGCUGAGACUCGAAAGCAUGGGUAGCGAACAGGA
rnacentral:rRNA from 1 species